AUUUAGGAGGCUGAGGCAGGAGGAUCACAAAUUUGAGGCCAGUCAUAGCAACUUAGCAAGAUACUUAUCUAAAAAAAAAAAAUGGGUCUGGGAUGUGGCUUAGUGGUACAAUCCUUUGAGUACAAUCCUCAGUUACCCCCCGCCCCCGAAAAAAGAGUUCAUUCAAUUUUUUACAUUAUGUUUGUCAAAAUACAUAAUAAGUGGUAGCACUAUGCCUUUUUAGCUAAUGGAAAAUUGUAGUCAAAGGAUAGUGAGAGCCUAUGUAUUUAAAGUACUUUGAUUUCUAAUAUGAAAGUGAUUAGUUUUUUAGAGUCACUUUGCCUAAAUUCAAAUCCUAGUUGCUGUUACUUUCCAACUAUGAUUUAAAUUUUUUUUUUUUUUGUAUUGGGGUUGAAUCCAGGGGCGCUCAACUACUGAGCCACAUCCCCAGCUCUUUUUUGUAUUUUAUUAUUUUCUUUAGAGGCAGGUUCUCAGUGAGUUGCUUAGGCCUCACUAAGUUGGUGAGGCUGGGUUUGAACUCAUGAUCUUCCUUGCCUCAGCUUUCCAAACUGUUGGGAUUACAGGCAUGUUCCACUGCGCCUGGCUCUGUUUGUGAUUUUGAACAAUAUUUAAACUUCUUUCAUCUUCAGUUUUCUUUGUUAAGUGAGAAUGCUACCUUGGAUUUCCCAGGAAACAGACACUGAGAUGUUAAGAGUGCAUACAGUUUGUUGUGGAGGAAUGGAAUGGUGCACAUAGCUCAGUGAUAGAGUGUGUACUUAGCAUGGUGGGAGUCCAUAAUUGUAAUAACCAGUACCAUCCCUUGGGAAAAAAAUGAAGGAAAGAAUAUUAUUAGAUUAAGCAGGAUUGACCAAGAGUUAUCAGAAUGAUGCAGACCUGAUGUCCUCUGCCAACUCCCUAAGGACAUCUGGAGCUACGACUUCAGAAAUGGCUUUGUCUUUGUACUAUAAGUUGGCCUUAUUUUGUCACUGACUAGCGACUAUCUGGAAAAGAAACUCAGCUUGACCCCAGAGGAGUCAAGGGAGUUGUCAGAUUUCUAAAUGUAGGAUCUGACAGCAAGUGUUUUCUUGAGAGAAGUCUGAAUAAAUCUGUCUGCCAUACUCAAUCAUGGGAUUAUAAUAAUUACAUUUAUUGUUACAUAUUAUUAUAUGAACACAGUACUGAACAUAGUUGGCACUCAGUGAUGUAAUCUGUUAUUCUUUGUUCUUUUCAAAAGACAUAACUUCUAAGGACACAGCAUUAUCUGUGUAGGAUCUUCCCAGUAAGGUUUAAUAUGAAUCUAAUCAUGAGGGAAAGCAAGAUAAAAAUUUUAAAGGCAUGUUGUACAAACAUAGCUGCUCUGGACUCUUCAAAAAUUUUGUGUUAUGAUAGACAUAAAAGAGGCUAGAUGGCCAGACAUGGUGGCACAUGCCUGUAAUGUCAGAAGCUCAGGAGGCUGAGAUAGGAGGAUUGCCAAGUUCAAAGCCAACCUUAGCAACUUAGUGAAGCCUUCAGCAACUUAGCCGAGACCCUGUCUCAAAGAAUAAAAAGAGCUGGUGAUGUGGCUCAGUGAUUAAGUGCCUCUGGGUUCAAUCAAUGGUACCAAAAAAAAAAAAAAAGAAAAAAAAUAGAUGAAGAUUAAGAGAAGGUGACAACGAAAUGCAAUAUCUGGUUCUUAAUUUGGUUCUGGAUGGGAGGGAGCAGAUUAUAAGGAACAAUAAUUGGAAGAGUUUGAGAAAUUCAAUUAUAUACGUUAUAUAUGCUGAAAUGGGAUAGAUUUUAGAUCUUAGAUAAAAUAAUACAAAUGUUAAAUUUUUUGUUUGGUGUUACUGAAGAUUGAAUUCAGGGGCAUAGGACUACUGAACUACCUCUUCUCCCAGCCUUUUAAAAAAUUUUUUAUUUUGAGACAGGGUCUUGCCAAAUUGCUCAGGCUGGUUUUGAACCUGUAAUCCUCCUGCCUCAGUCUCCCACAUUGUUGGGAUUACAGGCAAGUGCCACUCUGCCCUGCCUCAGUGUUAAGUUUCUUGAGUGUGAAAACUAGUAUGUAGAAGAAAGCCCUUGUUAGGAAAUAUAUGCUGAAAUACAGAAGUUUACAUGGUAAUUGUAUAAUAUUUAGGAAGGUGGGAAGAUAUUUAACAAUAUCUCCAUACUUUUACUUGGUAAUUUUAUAAUAUUUAGUUUUGCAUUCAGUUUAGUUCUCAAUGCUUAGUGAUAUUUUUAGUGAUCCUUUGUCAAUUUCCUAGGAUAGCAUACUACCAUUAUAGUACUCCAUAGUCUUACUCUUCUCCUGGCUUCAUUAAAUAACCUGACCUCUAUUUUGCUAAGACUGAAACAUUACUUCUUUGUCUUCCUUUCAUUGCCGCCUCUUAAUAUCUUUCCAGAUUAGAGAUAAAGAAGGGGCUUCUCCCUCCUCAGCUUUAUUAAGUGCUGGAAAUUGAACUCAGGGCUCUGUAUAUGCCAGUUUUGAAUCCAGUCUAUUGUUGCGGACCAUCCAUGGGCUGUGUGUAUGAGCUGUGCACAUUGAGCAGUAUGAGGGGACUGGCCUGACAUUGCUGCCUGAUUGGGCGGUGCAGCGUAUGUGUGCCUUUUCUGCCUGUGAUCCCACACAGCACCUGAGAUGGGUGUGGCUUUCCAAGAUGUCAAUCAACCUGUUGACCACAAGACAUCACCAAGCAAGACUCCACCCUUUGAAACCCAAUCCCUUGCCUUAUAUUCUAUGAAUGGCUUUUCCCCAAUACAUAGCGGGUUUCAGGUGUGUUCUCUCUCUUGCCUCCCUUGCUCCCCUUGCCUUCAGUGUGGGACCUGACACCUGAGGUCUCAGAGCUGUCUCUGACCCCCCAAAAAGGUAUUUUUGUGUUUGUGUGGUUUUUUAGUUGUCAGCCCAACAGCUGGUGACAGUCUAUACCCUUUAAUUCCACUUUAUGCCCUCUUUCCUUUUCAGAUCUGUCUGGUUUCUAUCUUUGUUUCCCUGCUUAAAUUACUUUCCCCAUAUAUAUGACUUAUUAGCACUCAUUACUAUUUUCAUAACAAACUUUAGGAUAUUAUUUAUAUUAGUUACAUCAGAAAGGCAAUUUCCUUAUGUCUUAGCUAUUUCUCUGACCCUCAGUGGUCAAUUUGAAUAUAUAUAUUACUAUUUUGAAUGAUGGCACUGGGAAGGGGAAUGAAUUCUCUAUGGAAAAAAAAAAA